GACGAACGCUGGCGGCGUGCUUAACACAUGCAAGUCGAACGGAAAGGCCCUGCUUUUGUGGGGUGCUCGAGUGGCGAACGGGUGAGUAACACGUGAGUAACCUGCCCUUGUCUUUGGGAUAACUUCAGGAAACUGGGGCUAAUACAGGAUAGGAGCUCCUGCAGCAUGGUGGGCGUUGGAAAGUCUCGGCGGUUGGGGAUGGACUCGCGGCUUAUCAGCUUGUUGGUGGGGUAGUGGCUUACCAAGGCUUUGACGGGUAGCCGGCCUGUGGGGGUGACCGGCCACAUUGGGACUGAGAUACGGCCCAGACUCCUACGGGAGGCAGCAGUGGGGAAUAUUGCACAAUGGGCGGAAGUCUGAUGCAGCAACGCCGCGUGCGGGAUGACGGCCUUCGGGUUGUAAACCGCUUUCGCCUGUGACGAAGCGUGAGUGACGGUAAUGGGUAAAGAAGCACCGGCUAACUACGUG
rnacentral:rRNA from 1 species